rnacentral:rRNA from 1 species
GAUACUGGCUCAGGAUGAACGCUAGCUACAGGCUUAACACAUGCAAGUCGAGGGGCAGCAUGUUGGUUGCUUGCAACCAAUGAUGGCGACCGGCGCACGGGUGAGUAACGCGUAUCCAACCUACCCUUGUCCAUCGGAUAACCCGUCCGAAAGGCGGCCUACACGAUAUGCGGUUCACAGCAGGCAUCUAACGUGACGAAANUAAGAGAGGAUGGGAGUGCGUCUGAUUAG